rnacentral:rRNA from 1 species
UACGAAGGGGGCUAGCGUUACUCGGAUUGACUGGGCGUAAAGGGCGCGUAGGCGGUUUGUACAGUCAGACGUGAAAUUCCUGGGCUCAACCUGGGGGCUGCGUUUGAUACGUGCGGACUUGAGUUCGGAAGAGGGUCGUGGAAUUCCCAGUGUAGAGGUGAAAUUCGUAGAUAUUGGGAAGAACACCGGUGGCGAAGGCGGCGACCUGGUCCGAUACUGACGCUGAGGCGCGAAAGCGUGGGGGAGCAAACAGG